rnacentral:rRNA from 1 species
UAGGGAAUCUUCCACAAUGGACGAAAGUCUGAUGGAGCAACGCCGCGUGAGUGAAGAAGGGUUUCGGCUCGUAAAACUCUGUUGUUAAAGAAGAACGUGGGUAAGAGUAACUGUUUACCCAGUGACGGUAUUUAACCAGAAAGCCACGGCUAACUACGUCGCA